CAUGCGGUGCCUGGCGCCUGGUAAUUCAGAUGCCCCGCGAUCAGGUAGCGGCAUGACCUAACGAGGU
rnacentral:ncRNA from 1 species